rnacentral:rRNA from 1 species
UACGUAGGGUGCGAGCGUUGUCCGGAAUUACUGGGCGUAAAGAGCUCGUAGGUGGUUUGUCGCGUUGUUCGUGAAAACCGGGGGCUUAACUCUCGGCGUGCGGGCGAUACGGGCAGACUGGAGUACUGCAGGGGAGACUGGAAUUCCUGGUGGAGCGGUGAAAUGCGUAGAUAUCGUUUGGAACGCCGACGGCGAAAGCAGGCUGCUGGGAUUGUGCCGACGCUGAGACACGAAAGCCAGGGGAGCGAACGGG